rnacentral:misc_RNA from 1 species
CUUCCAACCAUUCACCAAAAACAGUACUUCCAAGAAAUUCUGCAUCUAGACUUUUGUUUCUAAGUGAUUAUGCAUCAUUCACAGUGCUUGAGUGAACAAGAUAACUUUCACCUAGAGAGAUGUCUGGCAACCCAUUGACAACAAUGGCAAGUUCCAGGCAAUGAUUCUGAUUCUGGCUCUUUGCUUCUGCCAUCCAUUUCCAGUUCCCUUUCUGUUAAACAGCCUAGUGAGAAGAAGAAGGUGAAGCAGCUGCAAAACAGCUGUUUUUGGCAUUCCCAGCAUCAGCAAAGCCAAUUAGACCCUUCCACCUCACUGAUCGACCUCUCCAAACUAUUGAUUUCAUCAGGAAUUUGAAGGAGAAUCAGAUUGAAGAAAUUGGGAUUCAAACUUGCAGCAUUCGAUUGAAGCAACAAAGGCCUUGUUUCUGCGCAUUCUGCAUGGAGGUUGUCAUUGAGGUCACCCAAGCCUCCCCCAUUCCCUGCGCGGAAUGAGCACUUACAGCUGUGGCGCUCAAUGGUGGUGAUGCCUUGGAUUUUGUUCGUGUGGAGACGAAGUUGCAGACGAUGGAGGGGAAGGGAUGGAUGGAGCACCAAGAAGGAAUGAUUUUUUGAUAUUUUUGCCACCAAGAAAACAAAAUUCAGCUCAGGUUCCUCUUAUAACCCUAGCUUAGUAAAAUAAUUUCAAUUCUCGAUAUGCAUAAAUACCUUGCCAAAAUAAAAAGUCCAAGAAAAACCUAAUUUAAUACAACCACAAAUAAUUCUAUAAACAACAAUUUGCAUUCUAGGCUUCACUUCUCAAGAAAUCUGAGAAACAAACAGCAAGUCAAACACUUAAUAUAAAUGACACUAAAGUUCCUAAAUUGCCACAAUUAGGAAAAGCAAAUUAAAAAAGAAAAGGCUUGGAAUGUGCAUACCAGUGGGAAGUGCAAAGGCAAUAAGAAAUAAAGCAAUGCUUCGGCACUGUAAUUGGAAACAUUUUGGAGUUGAUCUUCAACGCUUUCUCCCAGAUUCCUUUGAGACCUUUCAAAAACCUUUUAAUUUCCCAAAUAGCAACCCAAAUCAACUGUGUCAGUUAUAAAGAAAGAAAUCAGAAUUGUAGUUUUGCCAGAAGUUGAAAGAGUUAUAGUUCCCAAAGCUUGUUUCAAUACUCAGAUUCCAAAUUGCCAUUGGAAAAAUGAAAGGGCAAUCUUGUGUAUGAAUGAUGAUUGAUUCUGAGCACAAGCACAAGAAGCAUUUUGCAUAAUGCUUGCUGCUAAUUGCAGUUAUAUAGAACAUCAUUGACUUCCUCCUCGUGUAUUUCAGGCACGUAUCCUAAAGUUAUCAUGUGGUCUACCAGACAAUCCAAUACACUAAGAAUUUCACUAAUUCUUGCGUUGGACCUGUCUUCUGCUCUAAAUCUCCAAACCUUGUUCUUUACUUCAAUCCAGCUAUAGCCAGGAUUUGUUUUAAGCCCUCUAUCUUUCAUCAAUUUCCUUACUCUCGCUGCCUGAUCCCAGCAACUCACACUUGCAUACAAAUUUGCCAAUUGCACAUGAGUAGCAGUGCAAUCUGGUUCCAACAAAAGCCUCCUCUCUGCAGCUUGUAUACCAAUCCAAACACUCCCAUGAAGCCUGCAGGAGGAUAAUAGAGAGCCCCAUAUAAUGGCAUUGGGAGACAAUGGCAUCCUUGAAAUAACAUCUUUUGCCUCUUCUAUCAACCCAGCACGGCCAAGAAGAUCAACUAGACAUGAAUAGUGGUCCAGUUCUGGCCUCACACCAUAUUCAACCAUUGAAUUGAAGUAAUUCCUUCCCCCUUCAACAUAACCUGCAUGGCGACAUGAAGAUAGAACAGCAAGAAAGGUAAUGGAGUCAGGUUUUAUGCCCAAAUUCUUCAUCUUUUCAAAAAGUUGAAUUGCCUGUACUGCCAGCCCAUGCUGCGCAUACCCACUAAUCAUUGAAUUCCAUGACACAAUGUCUUUAUCACACAUGUUCUCAAAUAUGUAUAAUGCAACUGGAACACUCCCACACUUGCAAUACAUUGAUAUAAGAGCAUUGGCAAUAUGUAAAUAGGAAUCAAAACCCAUUCGAAUUAUUUGGCAGUGAGCACUUCUCCCUUGCUCAAGAGCUCCACUGCCCGUACAAGCACUCAAAAGACUUGUAAAUGUGAAAUCAUUGGGUUUUAAUUUUGAAUUUCUCAUCACAGAGAAAAGCUCCAAACACACAUCAACCUGCCAUUCCUGUGCAAACCCAUAAAUGAUAGCUGUCCACGACACCACAGUUCUAAUAGGCAUUUCAUGAAACACUUUAUACGCACUAUCCAAUUCCCGGCAUUUUCCAUAUAAAGUAAUCAAAGAGCUGCCUACAUAGGCAUUGGCAACAAACCCAGUACAUACUGCUAAGCAAUGAUACUGAAUCCCAACUCGUAGAUCACGUGUGGAAGCACACAAACUCAAUGCACUGGACAAAGAGGCAGCAUCAGAUCUCAAACACACAGCAUUAGGCUCCUCAUUGUCCAGAAAAGAAGAUGCAAGUAUUUCAUCAAGCCCAUUUGAGAUUCCCUCUGCUGAGAUGGAGGCAGAAAUAUCGCUGCUCAAGUGUUGUUCACUAAUGUGAUUUGAAUUUGUUUCCAAAAAGUCUUGAAUUAGGCGAAGAUGGCUAUUGCGACCAGUGGCAGAAGUACCUGUUUUGGGAGCUAUGAUGUCUAGAAUUCUGAGAGCCUUGUCUAAAGGCUUGGUCAGUGUUGUACGUGUGAGUUUGUGAGCAGAGAAAGGCUCAUGGGAUGAUAGAGUAUGGAUCAGAUGUAUAGAGGGAGUGAGUUUGUUCCUGAUACAGGCUCUAAGUGAAAUAAUAUUCAUACCUAAGCAAAAUUCACCCCAUCAGCUGGCUUAAUUUAUAUGAGAUGCAGCUAAAGUCACCUCACCUGUGGGCUGUGGUCCAAAACAUAGUUUAUGGCAUAUUGGCAUCAGCAGACAGAUACAACACACAACACCCGCUGAGAUGAUAAUCCCAGUUUACACAGAUAUGAAGGAUUAAAACUUAGGCGCUGUGGUUUGUCUCUACCGUUUAUACGGCUUAACAUAGAAAGGAGCAGUGGCCGUAUCUGAACCCAAAACGACACAAUACCCAUAAACAAAAAUGACGAUCACUACCAGGCUGAACCUCAAACAGCAGUGAAGGACCUGCCAAAGAAGAGAACAAGACUGGAUGUCCUCAUCGCGGUCGGAAAGAGAAAAUUGGAAGCAGCGGCGACGUCAAUCUCAAUCGGAGCAAAGAAUAGGCCUGUUUCAAGGACUUUUCCACAAAUCGAAUAUGGGUUCAUAGCGUCGGCAUUGGCGAGAAAAUGGAAGUGAAGAUAUGUGAUGGCAUCAUCGAAGAACUUAGAACUAGAAGCUGGAUUUGGGUUUUUGGUAAUGGGUCUACGAGACAAGGAAAACAGCGACUGGGUUGGAGAAGAGUGAACUCUCAUGGCCUG